CCUACGGGAGGCUGCAGUGGGGAAUAUUGGGCAAUGGAGGAAACUCUGACCCAGCAACGCCGCGUGAAUGAUGAAGGUCUUCGGAUCGUAAAGUUCUUUUCUAAGGGAAGAAGAAAGUGACGGUACCUUAGGAAUAAGCCUCGGCUAACUACGUGCCAGCAGCCGCGGUAAUACGUAGGAGGCGAGCGUUAUCCGGAAUGACUGGGCGUAAAGGGGGCGUAGGUGGUUUGGCAAGUUAGUAGCGUAACUCCAAGGCUCAACCUUGGAACUACUACUAAAACUGUUGGACUUGAGUGCAGGAGGGGCAACCGGAAUUCCUAGUGUAGCGGUGGAAUGCGUAGAUAUUAGGAGGAACACCAGUGGCGAAGGCGGGUUGCUAGACUGUAACUGACACUGAGGCACGAAAGCGUGGGGAGCAAACAGGAUUAGAUACCCUGGUAGUC
rnacentral:rRNA from 1 species